rnacentral:rRNA from 1 species
UACGAAGGGGGCUAGCGUUGCUCGGAAUUACUGGGCGUAAAGCGCACGUAGGCGGCUUGUUAAGUCAGGGGGGAAAUCCUGGAGCUCAACUCCAGAACUGCCUUUGAUACUGGCGAGCUUGAGUCCGGGAGAGGUGAGUGGAACUGCGAGUGUAGAGGUGAAAUUCGUAGAUAUUCGCAAGAACACCAGUGGCGAAGGCGGCUCACUGGCCCGGUACUGACGCUGAGGUGCGAAAGCGUGGGGAGCAAACAGG